rnacentral:rRNA from 1 species
UCUAGAUGUUAGCGGCGGACGGGUGAGUAACACGUGGGUAACCUGCCUGUAAGACUGGGAUAACUCCGGGAAACCGGGGCUAAUACCGGAUGGUUGUCUGAACCGCAUGGUUCAGACAUAAAAGGUGGCUUCGGCUACCACUUACAGAUGGACCCGCGGCGCAUUAGCUAGUUGGUGAGGUAACGGCUCACCAAGGCGACGAUGCGUAGCCGACCUGAGAGGGUGAUCGGCCACACUGGGACUGAGACACGGCCCAGACUCCUACGGGAGGCAGCAGUAGGGAAUCUUCCGCAAUGGACGAAAGUCUGACGGAGCAACGCCGCGUGAGUGAUGAAGGUUUUCGGAUCGUAAAGCUCUGUUGUUAGGGAAGAACAAGUGCCGUUCAAAUAGGGCGGCACCUUGACGGUACCUAACCAGAAAGCCACGGCUAACUACGUGCCAGCAGCCGCGGUAAUACGUAGGUGGCAAGCGUUGUCCGGAAUUAUUGGGCGUAAAGGGCUCGCAGGCGGUUUCUUAAGUCUGAUGUGAAAGCCCCCGGCUCAACCGGGGAGGGUCAUUGGAAACUGGGGAACUUGAGUGC